UAGCAUCAGGUGCUGAGAUCGCGAGGGAGGGGGGAGGGAAGGAAGGAAGGAAGGAAGGAAGGAAGGAAGGCCAGGCUUGCUUGCUUCCUUUCUCUGUAGUGCCCGGUUGCAGCAGCACAGCAGCAGCAGCAGCCGCAGUGCAGCGGAGUUUUGGUGUUGCAUCAGCAGUAACGGGAUCUAAGCACAUCUGAUUUUGCGGAAGAAAAGUGAUUGAUAGAUACCUACCUACCUACCUACGUACUUACUUACUUACUUAUCUAUCUGCCUACGCAGGGGGUUUAUUAUUUUGUUUGUGUGUGAGGGUUUGAUUGUUCGCUUUUAGAGGGUUUGGAUAUAUAUUUUUUUUAGUCGGGGAAGUGGAGCAGGGAGAGAGAUUGUUCGGGUUAGGGAGGUUAGAGGAAUGAACUCGAGAUAGUAGGUUUUAUAGUUUUGGGAGUGAAGAGGAGGAGCUUAGGGGGGAGGGAGUUGGAAUUGGAGGGCGGUGAAGGUUUAUAACUCAUAGCUGAAGCUUGGCUCUGCGGGAGCGGACGGUGCGAUUGCCGCUUGGUGUCGUUGCCGUGCAGUUCGUUUGCGGCUCUGGUUGUUAGCGGGGUCUAGGCCGGAGUUACUCGCGAAAGUAUGGAUAGAAGAAGAAGUGAUAUGUAACUUGCGGACGCCUGACGAAUUUUGUUGGACACAGCUGAGUUAAAGUAGUGGACGGAAUGGCUCAGCUUCAAGAUGAUGGACAGUACGUGGGUGACGAGUACAUGGUGGAUUUUGAAGACGAUGCUGAGGAUCAACUGCAGGCGGCCCGUGAGAGCAACUUGCUUGACUCAGAUUCAGAUGAUGACAGUGAUGUGAUGAGUAAACUAUCGGACACGACUGCUGCUCAAGCUCGACGAGGUAAGGAUAUCCAAGGCAUCCCUUGGGACGGGCUGCUGUUUACGAGAGAACAAUACAGGGAAACUCGCCUCCAACAGUACAAGAAUUACUUGAAUUUGCAAUUGCCGCAUGAUGAUCUGGAGAAGGAGUGCAAAGUGGUAGAGAAAGGAGGAAAGUUUUUUGAUUUUCGGCACAACACUAGAUCGGUUAAAUCAACUAUCGUUCAUUUUCAGUUACGAAAUCUAGUGUGGGCUACGUCCAAGCACGAUGUUUAUCUUAUGCACAGCUACUCGGUGAUGCACUGGUCGCCUAUCACCAGGAAAGGAACUGAAGUGCUUAAUGUUGCAGGUCCUGUUGAUCCAGCGUUAGAGGCUCAGAGAAAUCCGUGGCUCUAUCAACAUGGGUUGGGACGUGUUCAGAUUAGUACAAUGUGUGUGAAGCGAAAUCUUCUUGUUGCUGGUGGAUUUCAAGGCGAGAUGGUUUGCAAGAACCUUGAUCGUCCUGGAGUGACGUAUUGUGCCAAGAUCACUCAUGAUGAAAAUGCUAUUACCAACGCCAUCGACAUUUAUGAUGACUGCAGUGGAGCUGUGCGUUUGAUGAGUUCCAACAAUGACUCGGUGGUUCGCGUUUUUGACUGCAACAAUUUUUCUGUUUUGAGCCGAUUUUACUUCCCAUGGGCUGUUAAUCACACCUCUGUUAGUCCUGACAGCAAGUCUGUAAUAGUUGUGGGAGAUAAUGCUGAAGGAAUUUUGGCUGAUAGUCAGAGCGGCAAGGUUAUAGCAACUUUAAGAGGCCAUCUAGACUACUCAUUUGCGUCAGCUUGGCAUCCCGAUGGACGUGUUUUUGCCACUGGAAAUCAAGAUACAACCUGCCGCCUUUGGGAUAAUCGCUAUCUGGGAUCCUCAUUAGCAGUUUUGAAAGGCCGCAUUGGUGCAAUACGCUCUAUAAGAUUCACAGGGGACGGAUGCUUUAUGGUUAUGGCAGAACCUGCAGAUUUCGUUCAUGUUUUUGACACCAAGCAGAACUACUCUCAUUGUCAGGAGAUCGAUCUCUUCGGAGAAGUAGCCGGAGUCUCUUUUAGUCCCGAUUCAGAGGCCCUUUAUGUCGGUGUGGCAGAUCGUACCUAUGGCAGUCUACUCGAGUUCAACCGAAGUCAUGCUAACACAUUUCUUGAUUGCAUCUUAUGAAUAUCGUUUGCAAUUUCGGUAUCAUAGGCAGAUCUUUGUCACACAGCCGCAUGAACAUGGGUUAGUUGUGAGGUUUCGUGGAUGAUCAUGACUUCAUGGGGAGCAUAUGUGCGACAGUGGAACGGGACGUGUAUUAUCAGAAAAUCAAGGCUUUUGGAUUACAUGUUUAGUCGUGGAUUUUACUGUGGAUGGGGGAAAAUAUGGGUGCUGUUUAUUCCUUCAAUCGCAGCAGGGUUGCAGAUGGCACCCGAUAAAGCUUUGAACUCAGUGCGUCCACUGUUUCGUCAGAGAUCUUCUCUGUGAAAAGAUGGCUAAGAUGGCAAGGACAUGGAAAUUGAGAUAAAAUGCUGAGUUGGAACAUGAACGAUAUUGAAUAUUAGCUAAGCCUACGAUGCAGAAAGGUAUAGGAAGAACAGGUUGAUACUGCCUUGCAGUGCUCAUAAGCAGUUCUGCACGUGACCCCUCUGAGGAACAGAAAAAGUGUAAGUAGGUUACUAUGAGAAGUGUGGAGUCGUGUUUGAUGAGGAGCUAUAUGCGUGGCCAUUCUGGAUUUAGAAGAACCUGAAUCGAAGGCCCAACUCUCGCUGCACUUGUAUCCGUGCCUGGUGCAGAAUAUGCACUUGGCUUAGAAUGGCUUAGAAAGGCGGAUUCGCUUUUGGAGUUCUCAAUUUGUCCACUUCAGAAUCGAUACUUUAUCUCUUGUGCAUCAUCUUCGAAUCGUCGGAAAUGAAUGGCUAAGGCAUUACUCAGAUCCAUCAUGCCUGCCAGUCAGCCAAAUGUGAAGUUCUUGUUGGAAGGUUCUAUGCCACUUUUCAUUUACUUUCAACUGGUGGCUCUUUAUAGUACUCAAGUGUGGUGCCAUUUUGCAACACUAAGUGAGGCUUGUAUGUUGAUAACAUUUUUUGGUUCAAGCCAACAGUAGGUGGCAAAUGAAGGGAAAAGAUGAGACAAAACUAUGGGAAGAUAUAAGUGGCCAAUUUUGACAACAAUUAAUGCAAAAGAGUUUGAUACUCUAGUUGUAAUGCAAUAUUCCUUUAUGUACACAA